rnacentral:rRNA from 1 species
UACGUAGGGGGCAAGCGUUGUCCGGAAUUAUUGGGCGUAAAGCGCGUGUAGGCGGCUCGGUAAGUCUGCUGUGAAAGUCCAGGGCUCAACCCUGGAACGCCGGUGGAUACUGUCGAGCUCGAGUCCGGAAGAGGCGAGUGGAAUUCCUGGUGUAGCGGUGAAAUGCGCAGAUAUCAGGAGGAACACCAAUGGCGAAGGCAGCUCGCUGGGACGGUACUGACGCUGAGACGCGAAAGCGUGGGGGGCAAACAGG